GCGUUUUAAGCACACUCCUCUAUGGUAGUGAGACUUGGACAACCUACGCUAGGCAUGAGAGGAAGCAAAACAGCUUUCACCUGAGGUGCCUGCGACUGUCCAUGUACAGUGGCAGGACGGGGUACCCGAUAAAGAAGUUCUGGAACACGCCAACACGAGCAGCAUGAUUGCCAUCCUGUGUGAGAAGUGUCUCCGUUGGCUUGGCCACGUUAGAAGAAUGGAUCCAGGUCGCAUUCCCAAAGAUCUUCUGUAUGUCGCGACGGGCAGAGAGCCAGCGUACACAAGAAGGAAAUCGCUCGUUCUCCAACUGCCACACCGGCACGACGUGGGCAGCUUUGUGCCGAAUAUUCCGCCAACCGGAAGGACCGCCGCGGCAGGGCGGGACUGACGCGACACCGGCCAGUGAUUGGCGGACCCAACGGAGAAAUUCCACCACUCAGGCGACGGCGGAGGAGGAUAAAAGGGCGCGCUUCCGGCCGUAUGAGAGAGGAGAAUAUCGUAGCGACAAGACGGACUCC
ensembl:lncRNA